rnacentral:rRNA from 1 species
CCUACGGGGGGCAGCAGUGGGGAAUAUUGGACAAUGGGGGGAACCCUGAUCCAGCCAUGCCGCGUGUGUGAAGAAGGCCCUCGGGUUGUAAAGCACUUUCAGUGAGGAAGAACGCCUGGUGGUUAAUACCCAUCAGGAAAGACAUCACUCACAGAAGAAGCACCGGCUAACUCCGUGCCAGCAGCCGCGGUAAUACGGAGGGUGCGAGCGUUAAUCGGAAUUACUGGGCGUAAAGCGCGCGUAGGUGGCUUGAUAAGCCGGUUGUGAAAGCCCCGGGCUCAACCUGGGAACGGCAUCCGGAACUGUCAAGCUAGAGCGCAGGAGAGGAAGGUAGAAUUCCCGGUGUAGCGGUGAAAUGCGUAGAGAUCGGGAGGAAUACCAGUGGCGAAGGCGGCCUUCUGGACUGACACUGACACUGAGGUGCGAAAGCGUGGGUAGCAAACAGGAUUAGAUACCCUGGUAGUC